GCUCUAUAACAUAUUCAUCAAUAUUACAUCUCCUUCACAGCCAUUAAAAUCCUCCUGCUCGGUCCAGUAAGCUCAGUCGCAUCCCUUAUCAAGCCACAUCGUGCCAAUUCCAGCCCUGAUUUUUACCCUUUAUUACCUUCCAACUAGUGGAACUUAGUCUCAGGUGCCUUGCACACAACUUGGAAAGUUAGUGCCUGUGCUAACAGGUUACCUAAUGCCCGCUUUUGUUUGAAGUUUGAAGUGGUAUCGCAUGAAUCUACAUUAGACCUAAAUGCUUUCUUCCCCCCCCCAAAGACAAUGAUGGACCAACAGUGCUUGGACAAUUUUUGUUAUAUUUGACAUGCACUGAAGCUCUCUACGCAGCUGAAAAAAUGAUAUGGAUCAGGCUGUAGUUUUGACAUCAUAAUAGCGCGCUGGCUACUUGCAGUAGUGUGUGUGUGUUCAGUGUUUUUUUUCUUUGUUUUCUGAGAGCACAGUGCUUGAUGGCAGAUUCUGCAGGUGACAAGGCACACCUUGACAUGGUGACAGCCCAUACGCUACAUGCACUUUACUGAAUGCAAAAGAGAGCAAGGGUUGUGAGACAUUUUCAUUUUGGUUCAAGUUUCAAAGAGAAGUUUGUGUGUGUAUGCAUGUGUGCACGCAUGUGUGUGUGUAUGUGUGUGUAAGCUCAAAAGAUAUGUUUGGAAUAGAGUCGAAGAUAAUUGUCCUUUUCCUCUAAAAUCAUCUAGCCUGAUUCUCUUAAAGCCUGCUACUGAGAUUGGCUUUUUGCAUUUUCAGAUAAUAUGUACACCAUAUGUGUUUCAUCACACAUGAAUCUUUUUAGCAAUAUAUUGUGUGUCAGCAUAUAGGUAAUCAGAGAAAGGAAUGCCUGCAGUUUUGGGAGCUGCCAGAUUUGCGAUUCUUCCCAAGCAGAGCAAUGCUUCAAACUCCAGCUAAAAUCUACAAAAAAAUUACAGCUCAACAUAGUCAGUAGCCGUUCUAUAUACAGACACACAUAUAUAAAAUAUGUGCAUAUAAAUACAUAUAUUUGUGAUUAAUAUCUAUUUAUCCAUAUAUACUGUAUAUAUGAAUACAUUUGCUUGAAUGCCUGUUAUACAUAUAUAUGUACUGCAAAUAUAAACAAGUUCAUAUAUUUCAAACAUUUCUGAUGUUAUUCUAUCUAUGAGGUUAGGAUGUCAAGUUAAAAAAGAUAAGGCUGUGAUACGGAGCAGCCCCUCCCAUGCACUCGCCAUCCCUCCCGAGACAAAAUGAGAAGAGAAAAAAAUAAACAUUUUGAGUAAUUGUAAACUAGCGAAGUGAGAGACCCCAUUUGGUCAUCUGAAAUAGUUUUGCCUGUAUUCAAAAAGCAUAUCAGCAAUAUAUAUGUAUAUAUACAUGUGUUGUAUAUAUUCGUAAUGUACACUUCUUUUAAGUGCAACUCCCCAGCCAGUUAACGCUGGCUGACAGAGAUGCAGUGGUCCGAGUAUAUUAGAGCUACAAGUCCUCAGCAAUAAAAAUGUUUGGUCUUUUGGUCCCUAAAACAACUAAGGAAUGAUGGAUAAGACUCCCUGGAGACUGUUGCUAUGGCGCUCCUCGGCAACGGUAUCCCCUGGAAACGGACAGGCACUCCGAGCUAAAGAUGGCCAUCCCAAAUCGAAGCCAAUCUGUGUCCUGAAAAUAUCACAUUCCUACUUAAGUUCUCUCUCAGAGAAUUUGUCCCUUCUUGUUUCAAAUCUUAAAAAUUGGUCUUCAAAAAUCAAUUGCUCCACACCAUCUUAAUGAAAGAUCUCCUACGGCAAUCCGCUAUUAUGUUUUUUGUGUGUUUUUUUUGUGGUUGGUUUUUUUUUUUGUUAUUUUUAUAUUUUUUUUCAAAGUUUUGUUCUUGUUGGACUUUUGACAUCCAUAUUCCUUUCAAGAGUUCAGCGGGGUUGGUCAUUGUAAGGAGGUUUGAUGUAGUUUCUUUUACUUUUUUCUUCUCCUUUCUUUGUUCAAGUAAAAGUUUUUGUGGUCCAGAAAAGGUAGCUGUCAUUCAAGCAGGGUUUUGUGGGGAAAGAAGUGUGUAUAUGUGUGCAGAAGAGGGGAAAAAAAGUCCUGGGGCUAACCAGGCUGGUACAAAUUCACUCUGAGUUCCAAAGUUUUAGUACAUCCAAAAAGGAGGUGUCCUUGACUCGGUCAUCACUCUCUCUCUCUCUCCUCUGUUUUCUGAAGCAGCCUCAGUGGUCCAGAUGUUGAGUUUGCACUCAGUGGCGGGUAGCAAAUAAUCAACAGCUCAACAAAACC
ensembl:lncRNA